GGAACUCACGUUCUCCCUCGGCCUCUUUAAAUGGUGGUAGAUCCAUUUUCUUGAUUGCAACAACCUCCAGAUGGAAAAAGGAUUAACCAAUUUCCUCCUUUUCCAAGCAGAUUCUCAUCACUGAAGGAACAUGUGGCCUCCUCCAUUUCCUUGAGGGUGAAAACCGAUGAGCCAUGUUUCCGUUUCCUUGUUGGCUGGGGCUCUUGGUCUUCUAUUUUCCAGAACUCUGCUGGUCUAUUCACCCCUGAAAGGUGCAAGAGACCAUCCAAAGCCUGGAAAGAAAAAAAAGAAGAAGCUUCUCGGACUCAGGACAGAAGGGUAUGUCGGGAAAAGCUUCUGAUCGCUGUUAGGACAGAUGGGUAUGUCGAAAGAUCCGAGCUUUGUAGACGGGUACGUAACUUCGUCUAAAGAAACAGAGAAGGUUGUAUGGUAAAGGUGAGAGUUAUAGGAAGUUGUUUCCAGUCUCUUAUCCGUAUGAAUAAGUUUUGAGGUUUGAUUUCUGAAAUACUCAACAGCAGUCUUUCAACUACCGGAGUUUGUAGAGACAGAAAAAGAUGGUCGAGCAGAAAGAUUGUUAAGAUCAUAUGUACAUGAAGUGAAGCAAAAGACAACGAGACAACAAUACUUCGAUGUUUAACUUACAUGUCUUUUUUUUUUGUUUCAAAUUUUGAGCAAGACUUGAAUUUUGAUGGUUAACUCUUAUGGUUAUAUUAUAAGGUUUCAAUUUUCUGGUU